CCUACGGGUGGCAGCAGUGAGGAAUAUUGGUCAAUGGACGGAAGUCUGAACCAGCCAUGCCGCGUGCAGGAUGACGGCUCUAUGAGUUGUAAACUGCUUUUGUACGAGGAUAAAAGUUCUUACGUGUAGGGAUUUGCAUGUAUCGUACGAAUAAGGACCGGCUAACUCCGUGCCAGCAGCCGCGGUAAUACGGAGGAUUCGAGCGUUAUCCGGAUUUAUUGGGUUUAAAGGGUGCGUAGGCUGCUGGUUAAGUUUGAGGUCAAAUGUCGGGGCUUAACCCCGGGCCUGCCGCGGAUACUGGUCGACUAGAGAGCGCAUGCGGCAGGCGGAAUGAGUAGUGUAGCGGUGAAAUGCUUAGAUAUUACUCAGAACACCGAUUGCGCAGGCAGCUUGCU
rnacentral:rRNA from 1 species